ensembl:lncRNA
CGCAACUGUCAUAUUGCGCGUCCUGUGACAAAUUUACCGCAUCUGCACACGGUAUCAGUCUAAAUGUUCAGUCAGCGGUGAAAAUCAAUAGUAGCCUAGAUUUCAUUUAAAGUCCAUCAGUUUAACACUAAUAUUGGACAUAAACGAAAACGUUAAAUAUAAAGUAUUUAAAACAGGUAAGUUCAUAUAUGUAGUAAAGUUGAAUUGAACUGAUGCAUCGGUCAUACAGCACUCUGGACCGCGCGCUGCCACAGAAACAAGGAGGGGAUGCACAUAACUGUGGCAUUAAACUCAGUUAGUGAAGGCUCGUUUAAAAUAUUGCACAUAAAUAGGCCGUUCAGAUUACUUGUUAAAGUGCAAUAAAAUCCCUUAUAUCUGCAGACGAUGUAGAUCUGUUUGUGGAUAGAGACUUCUUCACCGACUACAGGCUCUAAUCCUCAUUUGCGCGCAAUAUUUAAAAUUAAAGCACCGCUGACAGAAACAGUCGACUCUCGUGCCUUUUGCAUUUAAAUCUUUAUUACAAGCAAUUGCACGGUUCUUAAUGACCUUUGUUUUUCUGUUUCCAUAAAAGUGCAAAGGCCUAUAUCAUGUUGCCUCGUUUAUAAAGGUGCUCUUUUUCUUGUUUUAAACCUAGCCAAAACCCAUGUGUUGCGUGUGAAAAACAGUAGGCUUUAAUUAGUUUACAUUUAUUGUGAAAUUACUGCAUUUCCGUGUCAAUCCAUGUUAAUUUUUACCGCGAACAAUACGCCAUCAUUUUAAUUCAGCGCAUGCAGCACAGCAAAAAUAGACUCGGUAGGUAAACGAUGCUGCACUGCUGCAGACGCACCGCUCCUGGAAUGCACUGACGGACCACAACCGCGUGAACGCUGGAAUCCGUUAACAUGGGUGCGUAAAAAAAAAAAAAAAAAAAAAAUGCAGCGCAUACGCACUGCAGACAGAGUAUGUGUGAAACAAAAGCGUAAUGUUGUUUGCAACUUGUGCAAUGCGGAAUUAGUUUACUGUAGGAGUUCUUCCAAUCUCAAGUACCACCUAAAUGCAAAGCAUCCCGACCCUUAGCUAAUGCGGAAGAUGCCGGGCCAUGCAAUGUAGCGCAGGGGAAGAGUCGUCGUCAAACUACUAUGUUUGAGUGCAGCACAGCUCUAUCAGUACUAACAAGUACAUCUUAUUGAACAUAAUUUCAAUGCCUUCGGCAGAAUUCAAAUGAGCCAUUUUAAUCUAGAUUAAUCUAGAUUAAUUCCAAGAUUACAGUGAGAUUAAUCUAGAUUAAAAAAAU